CGUUCCACUAAGGAAACUAAUAAUCCAGUAAACGAUGUAAGGAUUUACAUCUAGUUGCUUGAAUUUUUCGCGUGAGAUAUCGUACGUCGCCGAAUAUUGUAAAAAUAAGCCGGUUGUGAUAGCAUUUCAGUAAAUUCAUAGUGGAGUUGUGGCCCUAGCUCUUUAUAAGCAAAUUGAUCAUGCUUGAUUUAAGAAAUAGAAAACGAGUCGCGUGCGUUUAUGGUGUGAUAAUGCACCAGGGAAUUAAUGUUGGGAGAAAGGAGAGAAGCGUACGAGAGACGCAUGUUUGAAUACGAGAGAAGUUUGAAUGCGAGAGAAGCGUGUUUACUGGGAAAGUUUGGAGAAUACGAGAGACGCGUGUUGAUAGAACACGAGAGAAGCGUGUUUGCAUUCCCGAGUUAAUUAUCACUCUUUAAAUGCAAGAGACGAGUUUUGUACUUAUUUUAUAAUUUUAGGAACUAUUACCCAGUAAGCAUUUUAAGUAAUUUGAAAGAUUGAUUUUGAAAUUCUCCUGAAAUGUAUUCAUUGAAGUCACACGCAUGCAUUUCAUCUCUUAGAAACCAGCUUGAAUUUUCAGGCGGCCGAAGGAAAAAAACAUUGCGUAAUUUAGAAAUUAAACUUAUUAAACGGGGGGAGACGAAUUUGCUGGUGGUUUUUUUGCCGCAUCUUACAAGCUGGAUUUAGCACGAAAUUCGUGUGCUCAGAAAAUUGUAUAAUAAUACUGAUAAUUAAUAAAGUUGGCAAAGUGUUUAUUAAGACAAUUUACGGCUAACCCUCUCUCCUCCGCAGAGGCUUACUUGAAGUUUCUAGUUAGGAAAAGUGAGCGCGCAAGGAGUGAUGGGAAGAACGAAGUAAAGGAAAAAGGAAGCCUCUGCUAGUUAAUGCACUCAAUAUGGCGUCGUAUAUAAUCGUUUGGAGUUCGGUUCGAUAUCAACCUUCCAGGGUGUUUAAACAUCUUUUCCACUUUCCUUUUCAGGCGCACUUGAGUCUCCUGGAGUGAAUCCAGUAUCAAUAUCUUGUGGCCAUUUACAC